rnacentral:rRNA from 1 species
CAGCCGCCGCGGUAAUACGAAGGGGGCUAGCGUUGUUCGGAUUUACUGGGCGUAAAGCGCACGUAGGCGGAUCGAUCAGUCAGGGGUGAAAUCCCAGAGCUCAACUCUGGAACUGCCUUUGAUACUGUCGAUCUGGAGUAUGGAAGAGGUGAGUGGAAUUCCGAGUGUAGAGGUGAAAUUCGUAGAUAUUCGGAGGAACACCAGUGGCGAGGGCGGCUCACUGGUCCAUUACUGACGCUGAGGUGCGAAAGCGUGGGGAGCAAACAGGAUUAGAUACCCCCGUAGUCCCUGUCUCUUAUAA